rnacentral:rRNA from 1 species
GACGAACGCUGGCGGCGUGCUUAACACAUGCAAGUCGAACGGUAAGGCCCUUCGGGGUACACGAGUGGCGAACGGGUGAGUAACACGUGGGUGAUCUGCCCUGCACUUCGGGAUAAGCCUGGGAAACUGGGUCUAAUACCGGAUAGGACUCCGGACUGCAUGGUCUGGGGUGGAAAGCUUUUGCGGUGUGGGAUGGGCCCGCGGCCUAUCAGCUUGGUGGUGGGGGGAUGGCCUACCAAGGCGACGACGGGUAGCCGGCCUGAGAGGGUGACCGGCCACACUGGGACUGAGAUACGGCCCAGACUCCUACGGGAGGCAGCAGUGGGGAAUAUUGCACAAUGGGCGCAAGCCUGAUGCAGCGACGCCGCGUGAGGGAUGACGGCCUUCGGGUUGUAAACCUCUUUCAGCAUCGACGAAGCGAAAGUGACGGUAGGUGCAGAAGAAGGACCGGCCAACUACGUGCCAGCAGCCGCGGUAA